rnacentral:rRNA from 2 species
GGUUAAGCGACUAAGCGUACACGGUGGAUGCCCUGGCAGUCAGAGGCGAUGAAGGGCGUGCUAAUCUGCGAUAAGCGCCGGUAAGGUGAUAUGAACCGUUAUAACCGGCGAUACCCGAAUGGGGAAACCCAGUGUGAUUCGUCACACUAUCAUUAACUGAAUCCAUAGGUUAAUGAGGCGAACCGGGGGAACUGAAACAUCUAAGUACCCCGAGGAAAAGAAAUCAACCGAGAUUCCCCCAGUAGCGGCGAGCGAACGGGGAGGAGCCCAGAGCCUGAAUCAGCAUGUGUGUUAGUGGAAGCGUCUGGAAAGGCGCGCGAUACAGGGUGACAGCCCCGUACACAAAAGCGCAUGUGCUGUGAGCUCGAUGAGUAGGGCGGGACACGUGGUAUCCUGUCUGAAUAUGGGGGGACCAUCCUCCAAGGCUAAAUACUCCUGACUGACCGAUAGUGAACCAGUACCGUGAGGGAAAGGCGAAAAGAACCCCGGCGAGGGGAGUGAAAAAGAACCUGAAACCGUGUACGUACAAGCAGUGGGAGCCCCACCACUAAGCCAGUGGUGAACUCCACAUCCGCAUCCUUUGCUGAGGAUACGGUUAACGGAGCGAAAGCGACGUUCAACCGCAAAACAAGCAGAGGGGGCUUAGUGGUGGGGUGACUGCGUACCUUUUGUAUAAUGGGUCAGCGACUUAUAUUCUGUAGCAAGGUUAACCGUAUAGGGGAGCCGGAGGGAAACCGAGUCUUAAUUGGGCGUUAAGUUGCAGGGUAUAGACCCGAAACCCGGUGAUCUAGCCAUGGGCAGGUUGAAGGUUGGGUAACACUAACUGGAGGACCGAACCGACUAAUGUUGAAAAAUUAGCGGAUGACCUGUGGCUGGGGGUGAAAGGCCAAUCAAACCGGGAGAUAGCUGGUUCUCCCCGAAAGCUAUUUAGGUAGCGCCUCGUGAAUUCAUCUCCGGGGGUAGAGCACUGUUUCGGCUAGGGGGCCAUCCCGGCUUACCAACCCGAUGCAAACUGCGAAUACCGGAGAAUGUUAUCACGGGAGACACACGGCGGGUGCUAACGUCCGUCGUGAAGAGGGAAACAACCCAGACCGCCAGCUAAGGUCCCAAAGUCAUGGUUAAGUGGGAAACGAUGUGGGAAGGCCCAGACAGCCAGGAUGUUGGCUUAGAAGCAGCCAUCAUUUAAAGAAAGCGUAAUAGCUCACUGGUCGAGUCGGCCUGCGCGGAAGAUGUAACGGGGCUAAACCAUGCACCGAAGCUGCGGCAGCGAACGUAUCACCCAAGACAACUUUACGGAGUUGACGAUUGACGGAGCGAAGCGACGUCAAAGCGUUCAUUAAAGUCGAGUUGGCUUAGGGAUACGUUCGUUGGGUAGGGGAGCGUUCUGUAAGCCUGUGAAGGUGUGUCGUGAGGCAUGCUGGAGGUAUCAGAAGUGCGAAUGCUGACAUAAGUAACGAUAAAGCGGGUGAAAAGCCCGCUCGCCGGAAGACCAAGGGUUCCUGUCCAACGUUAAUCGGGGCAGGGUGAGUCGACCCCUAAGGCGAGGCCGAAAGGCGUAGUCGAUGGGAAACGGGUUAAUAUUCCCGUACUUGGUGUUACUGCGAAGGGGGGACGGAGAAGGCUAUGUUGGCCGGGCGACGGUUGUCCCGGUUUAAGCGUGUAGGUGUGUGUUCCAGGUAAAUCCGGUUCACUUUAACACUGAGGCGUGACGACGAGGCACUACGGUGCUGAAGCAACAAAUGCCCUGCUUCCAGGAAAAGCCUCUAAGCAUCAGGUAACACGAAAUCGUACCCCAAACCGACACAGGUGGUCAGGUAGAGAAUACCAAGGCGCUUGAGAGAACUCGGGUGAAGGAACUAGGCAAAAUGGUGCCGUAACUUCGGGAGAAGGCACGCUGACACGUAGGUGAAGUGAUUUACUCAUGGAGCUGAAGUCAGUCGAAGAUACCAGCUGGCUGCAACUGUUUAUUAAAAACACAGCACUGUGCAAACACGAAAGUGGACGUAUACGGUGUGACGCCUGCCCGGUGCCGGAAGGUUAAUUGAUGGGGUCAGCGCAAGCGAAGCUCCUGAUCGAAGCCCCGGUAAACGGCGGCCGUAACUAUAACGGUCCUAAGGUAGCGAAAUUCCUUGUCGGGUAAGUUCCGACCUGCACGAAUGGCGUAAUGAUGGCCAGGCUGUCUCCACCCGAGACUCAGUGAAAUUGAACUCGCUGUGAAGAUGCAGUGUACCCGCGGCAAGACGGAAAGACCCCGUGAACCUUUACUAUAGCUUGACACUGAACAUUGAGCCUUGAUGUGUAGGAUAGGUGGGAGGCUUUGAAGUGUGGACGCCAGUCUGCAUGGAGCCGACCUUGAAAUACCACCCUUUAAUGUUUGAUGUUCUAACGUGGACCCGUAAUCCGGGUUGCGGACAGUGUCUGGUGGGUAGUUUGACUGGGGCGGUCUCCUCCUAAAGAGUAACGGAGGAGCACGAAGGUUGGCUAAUCCUGGUCGGACAUCAGGAGGUUAGUGCAAUGGCAUAAGCCAGCUUGACUGCGAGCGUGACGGCGCGAGCAGGUGCGAAAGCAGGUCAUAGUGAUCCGGUGGUUCUGAAUGGAAGGGCCAUCGCUCAACGGAUAAAAGGUACUCCGGGGAUAACAGGCUGAUACCGCCCAAGAGUUCAUAUCGACGGCGGUGUUUGGCACCUCGAUGUCGGCUCAUCACAUCCUGGGGCUGAAGUAGGUCCCAAGGGUAUGGCUGUUCGCCAUUUAAAGUGGUACGCGAGCUGGGUUUAGAACGUCGUGAGACAGUUCGGUCCCUAUCUGCCGUGGGCGCUGGAGAACUGAGGGGGGCUGCUCCUAGUACGAGAGGACCGGAGUGGACGCAUCACUGGUGUUCGGGUUGUCAUGCCAAUGGCACUGCCCGGUAGCUAAAUGCGGAAGAGAUAAGUGCUGAAAGCAUCUAAGCACGAAACUUGCCCCGAGAUGAGUUCUCCCUGAGACUUAGAGUCUCCUGAAGGAACGUUGAAGACGACGACGUUGAUAGGCCGGGUGUGUAAGCGCAGCGAUGCGUUGAGCUAACCGGUACUAAUGAACCGUGAGGCUUAACCUU